rnacentral:rRNA from 1 species
CCUACGGGAGGCAGCAGUGAGGAAUAUUGGUCAAUGGACGAGAGUCUGAACCAGCCAAGUAGCGUGAAGGAUGACUGCCCUAUGGGUUGUAAACUUCUUUUAUAUGGGAAUAAAAUGUUCCACGUGUGGGAUUUUGUAUGUACCAUAUGAAUAAGGAUCGGCUAACUCCGUGCCAGCAGCCGCGGUAAUACGGAGGAUCCGAGCGUUAUUCGGGUUUAUUUGGGUUAAAGGGAGCGUAGGUGGAUUGUUAAGUCAGUUGUGAAAGUUUGCGGCUCAACCGUAAAAUUGCAGUUGAAACUGGCAGUCUUGAGUACAGUAGAGGUGGGCGGAAUUCGUGGUGUAGCGGUGAAAUGCUUAGAUAUCACGAAGAACUCCGAUUGCGAAGGCAGCUCACUGGACUGCAACUGACACUGAGGCUCGAAAGUGUGGGUAUCAAACAGGAUUAGAUACCCUAGUAGUC